GCUGUAGCUCAGUGGUAGAGCAUCUGCUUUGCAUGCAGAAGGUCCCAGGUUCAAUCCCCAGCAUCUCCA
rnacentral:tRNA from 1 species